AGGUUGUGCGCUGGCUGCCUUUGGGCCUGGAUGCACGUCUGAGGGGCCACAGGGGAUGGCGUUUGUCCUCGUCCGGAAUGGGCACGGAGCAGCUGGAUGAUGAAAAGGCACCUGGCACUUGGAGGACGGAUGCAGUGGGCUGACUGUGCGCUUGGUCUUCUGAAGGAUGGGUGGACUGAGACUCUCGGCCCCUUGAAAGCUAAGUUGAGGCAACGGUGCUGAGGAAGGGGUUGCGGGAGGGAGGGGUUUUAAAGAUGAUGCAGCGGAGCGGGCUGUCCAGGAAGCGGUCCCCUUUGAGAGCA